GAUGAACGCUGGCGGCGUGCCUAACACAUGCAAGUCGAGCGAUUCUCUUCGGAGAAGAGCGGCGGACGGGUGAGUAACGCGUGGGUAACCUGCCCUGUACACACGGAUAACAUACCGAAAGGUAUGCUAAUACGGGAUAACAUAAGAAAUUCGCAUGUUUUUCUUAUCAAAGCUCCGGCGGUACAGGAUGGACCCGCGUCUGAUUAGCUAGUUGGUGAGGUAACGGCUCACCAAGGCGACGAUCAGUAGCCGACCUGAGAGGGUGAUCGGCCACAUUGGAACUGAGACACGGUCCAAACUCCUACGGGAGGCAGCAGUGGGGAAUAUUGCACAAUGGGCGAAAGCCUGAUGCAGCAACGCCGCGUGAGCGAUGAAGGCCUUCGGUCGUAAAGCUCUGUCCUCAAGAAGAUAAUGACGGUACUUGAGGAGGAAGCCCCGGCUAACUACGUGCCAGCAGCCGCGGUAAAGUCACGUCG
rnacentral:rRNA from 1 species